AAUACGCGAUCUAAAUGAUCUGAUACGACACCUGGUGUCAAAAAUGUGCACUACUCAGGAGCAUAGUGAAAGAUGUAAAUACUGUUGGUUGUACAGUGAAAUUUCGUUGUUUUAUGUUAAACCAACAAAAUUAAAUAAGUUGGUCCCAGUAUUCCUGAAAAAAUGACUGUUAACAAUACAAAUUGUUGUGUUUUUCGCUGCCAUAGCAAAAACAAUAGAAACAGUGGGCUCUCUUUUCAUAAAUUCCCCAUAAAAAACAAGUCAUUUGUUUAAAUGUUAUGAACAGGUUAGGAAUCAGGGAAAAAAAUGGACAGAUAUAAGACUUGGAUGGUAAAUAUGGGAAAACCAGCAACAAAGCACAUGAAAGUGUGUUCACUACAUUGUAAUCAGGAUGAUUUCAUAUUGAGGAUUUGAUUUGAGGACCCAGGUGGGUUAGUUAGCUUCGUGCUUGCCCACUACACCUUGGGUCGUGGGUUCGAUUCCCGCCUUGCCUUUUGGCUGUUGUGUAUGUCAUGUUUCCUGUAAUUGGGCCUCCAGCUUGUUAGAGACAUCAUAGGAUAAAAUAAAUAAAAAUAAAAAUAUUACCUGAUGUAAGUAUCAUUACUAAAGAAUUACUACCUAGAAGGCCCAAAAAUCGAGACUUUAAAGCAGUCAGAAGUACAACAAUGAGAAAAUCUGAAGGUUACAUAAUUUCAAGUACAGAUAGUACUGAUGUAAAUUGCUUCGACAGCAGUCAGUUACAUCAAAAAACUGUUUCAACAUUAGAAAUGGAAACCGUGCAGGCUUUGUUACAUUUACAAAAUUCACAAAAAAAGGAUAAAAAUAUUCAAGUGACAAGUGGAGAUUUAGUGGCACCUUUUAUAAGUACACUUAAAUCUGAUAAUGAUUUAAAUACAAUGGCUGGAAUACCAUCCUUUCUGUUAUUUAAUGCUAUUGUUGCAAAUUGUGAGAUGUUUGGAAAAUUCUGUAAUAAACAUAAAUUAAACUUGAAAGAACGUGUUCUGUUAACUUUUAUGAAACUGAAAAAUACAUUUUCUUAUGCUGUUUUA